rnacentral:rRNA from 1 species
GGAGGGGCGCUAGAUGUAGGGACCUUUCCACGGUUUCUGUGUCGUAGCUAACGCAUUAAGCGCCCCGCCUGGGGAGUACGGCCGCAAGGCUAAAACUCAAAGGAAUUGACGGGGGCCCGCACAAGCGGCGGAGCAUGCGGAUUAAUUCGAUGCAACGCGAAGAACCUUACCAAGGCUUGACAUACACCGGAAACGGCCAGAGAUGGUUGCCCCCUUGUGGUCGGUGUACAGGUGGUGCAUGGUUGUCGUCAGCUCGUGUCGUGAGAUGUUGGGUUAAGUCCCGCAACGAGCGCAACCCUCGUUCUAUGUUGCCAGCGCGUUAUGGCGGGGACUCAUAGGAGACUGCCGGGGUCAACUCGGAGGAAGGUGGGGAUGACGUCAAAUCAUCAUGCCCCUUAUGUCUUGGGCUUCACGCAUGCUACAAUGGCCGGUACAAAGGGCUGCGAUACCGUAAGGUGGAGCGAAUCCCAAAAAGCCGGUCUCAGUUCGGAUUGAGGUCUGCAACUCGACCUCAUGAAGUCGGAGUCGCUAGUAAUCGCAGAUCAGCAACGCUGCGGUGAAUACGUUCCCGGGCCUUGUACACACCGCCCGUCAAGUCAUGAAAGUCGGUAACACCCGAAGCCGGUGGCCUAACCCUUGUGGAAGGAGCCGUCGAAGGUGGGAUCGGUGAUUAGGACUAAGUCGUACAAGGGGGAAAACCGGAA